rnacentral:rRNA from 1 species
UUGGAGGAAUGUAUAGCAAUAGCUGAUUGCACCAACAAAUAGUUGAUGCAAAAUCGACUUUGUCGAAUAAAAUUCUAGGUAGAAUUAUGAUAAUGACAUUAUCUGCCUAUGUGUCUUGACCAAAUUACGUGCCAGCAGUCGCGGUAAUACGUAGAAGACUAGUGUUAUUCAUCUUUAAUAGGUUUAAAGGGUACCUAGACGGUAAAUAAAGCCUUCACGGGGACUAAUUUACUAGAGUUACUUAUGAGGGGGCAUUAAAGUACUGCUGGUGUAGAGAUGAAAUUCUGUAAUACCUUUAAUCAAUGGCACAGGUAUAGGCGAAAGCAUCCCCUUAUGUGAUAACUGACGUUGAGGGACGAAGGCUUUGUGACGCGAACAGGAUUAGAUACCCUAGUAGUCAAAGCAGAAAAUGAUGAAUGUCAUAGAUUAGACGU